GGAGUGUUGUAGCUCAAUGGCGGAGCACCUGCUUUGCUUGCAGAAGGCCCCAGGUUCGAAUCCUGUCAUCUCCA